GGGCUCGUAGGUGGUUGAUCGCGUCGGAAGUGUAAUCUUGGGGCUUAACCCCGAGCGUGCUUUCGAUACGGGUUGACUUGAGGAAGGUAGGGGAGAAUGGAAUUCCUGGUGGAGCGGUGGAAUGCGCAGAUAUCAGGAGGAACACCAGUGGCGAAGGCGGUUCUCUGGGCCUUUCCUGACGCUGAGGAGCGAAAGCGUGGGGAGCGAACAGGCUUAGAUACCCUGGUAGUCCACGCUGUAAACGGUGGGUACUAGGUGUGGGGUCCAUUCCACGGGUUCCGUGCCGUAGCUAACGCUUUAAGUACCCCGCCUGGGGAGUACGGCCGCAAGGCUAAAACUCAAAGGAAUUGACGGGGCCCCGCACAAGCGGCGGAGCAUGCGGAUUAAUUCGAUGCAACGCGUAGAACCUUACCUGGGUUUGACAUGGAUCGGGAGUGCUCAGAGAUGGGUGUGCCUCUUUUGGGGUCGGUUCACAGGUGGUGCAUGGCUGUCGUCAGCUCGUGUCGUGAGAUGUUGGGUUAAGUCCCGCAACGAGCGCAACCCUUGUUCACUGUUGCCAGCACGUUAUGGUGGGGACUCAGUGGAGACCGCCGGGGUCAACUCGGAGGAAGGUGGGGAUGACGUCAAGUCAUCAUGCCCCUUAUGUCCAGGGCUUCGCGCAUGCUACAAUGGCUGGUACAGAGAGUGGCGAGCCUGUGAGGGUGAGCGAAUCUCGGAAAGCCGGUCUCAGUUCGGAUUGGGGUCUGCAACUCGACCUCAUGAAGUCGGAGUCGCU
rnacentral:rRNA from 1 species